rnacentral:rRNA from 1 species
GAAACGCGAUAGUUAAUGUGAAUUGCAGAAUUCAGUGAAUCAUCGAGUCUUUGAACGCACAUUGCGCCCGUUGGUAUUCCGACGGGCACGUCUGUUUGAGCGUCAUGUCAAAACUCAACCAGUCUUGGUUGGUACUGGGCCCAGGUAUCUCUUUGGAACCUGGCCUUAAAAUAGCACGCUCUGCGGGCCUGCUGGUCUCCGAAAACAUAGUACAAAACGCCUUGUUGGAACGGGACCGGUCUGGCUACCGCCUGAACAAAAAUCAAACUCCAAAGGUUUGACCUCAGAUCAGACGAGGAUACCCGCUGAACUUAA